rnacentral:rRNA from 1 species
AGGGUGAGUCGGCCCCUAAGGCGAGGCAGAAAUGCGUAGUCGAUGGGAAACAGGUUAAUAUUCCUGUACCGAUUUGGAAUGCGAUGGGGGGACGGAGAAGGGUAGGUCAGCCAACUGUUGGAAUAGUUGGUUUAAGCGUGUAGGCGUGCUCUAUAGGCAAAUCCGUAGAGCUGAGCUGAGGCGUGAUGACGAGGUGCCACGUGCACUGAAGUGAUUGAUCCCAUGCUUCCAGGAAAAGCCUCUAAGCUUCAGUUCCAAAUUGACCGUACUGCAAACCGACACAGGUGGGUAGGGUGAGAAUCCUAAGGCGCUUGAGAGAACUCAGGAGAAGGAACUCGGCAAAUUGACACCGUAACUUCGGGAGAAGGUGUGCCCUUGUAGGGUGAAGGACCUUGCGUCUGGAGCUCGAAAGGGUUGCAGUGAAAAGGUGGCUGCGACUGUUUAUUAAAAACACAGCACUCUGCAAACACGAAAGUGGACGUAUAGGGUGUGACGCCUGCCCGGUGCUGGAAGAUUAAAUGAUGGGGUGCAAGCUCUUGACUGAAGUCCCAGUAAACGGCGGCCGUAACUAUAACGGUCCUAAGGUAGCGAAAUUCCUUGUCGGGUAAGUUCCGACCCGCACGAAUGGCGUAACGAUGGCCACACUGUCUCCUCCUGAGACUCAGCGAAGUUGAAAUGUUUGUGAAGAUGCAAUCUCCCCGCUGCUAGACGGAAAGACCCCGUGAACCUUUACUGUAGCUUUGCAUUGGACUUUGAACAGACUUGUGUAGGAUAGGUGGGAGGCUUUGAAGUGGGAACGCCAGUUCUCAUGGAGCCGUCCUUGAAAUACCACCCUGGUGUGUUUGAGGUUCUAACCUGGGUCCGUCAUCCGGAUCGGGGACCGUGCAUGGUAGGCAGUUUGACUGGGGCGGUCUCCUCCCAAAGUGUAACGGAGGAGUUCGAAGGUCUCCUAGGUACGGUCGGACAUCGUACUGAUAGUGCAAUGGCAAAAGGAGGCUUAACUGCGAGACCGACAAGUCGAGCAGGUGCGAAAGCAGGACAUAGUGAUCCGGUGGUUCUGUAUGGAAGGGCCAUCGCUCAACGGAUAAAAGGUACUCUGGGGAUAACAGGCUGAUACCGCCCAAGAGUUCAUAUCGACGGCGGUGUUUGGCACCUCGAUGUCGGCUCAUCACAUCCUGGGGCUGUAGCCGGUCCCAAGGGUAUGGCUGUUCGCCAUUUAAAGUGGUACGUGAGCUGGGUUUAAAACGUCGUGAGACAGUUUGGUCCCUAUCUGCAGUGGGCGUUGGAAGUUUGAGGGGGGCUGCUCCUAGUACGAGAGGACCGGAGUGGACGUGCCUCUGGUGUACCGGUUAUGACGCCAGUCGUAUCGCCGGGUAGCUAUGCACGGAAGAGAUAAGCGCUGAAAGCAUCUAAGCGCGAAACUUGCCUCAAGAUGAGACUUCCCUGGCAGCUUGACUGCCCUGAAGGGUCGUGGAAGACCACCACGUUGAUAGGUCGGGUGUGGAAGCGCAGUAAUGCGUUAAGCUAACCGAUACUAAUUGCCCGUGCGGCUUGAUCCU